rnacentral:rRNA from 1 species
GAUGAACGCUAGCGGGAGGCUUAACACAUGCAAGUCGAGGGGCAUCACGAGGUAGCAAUACUUUGGUGGCGACCGGCGCACGGGUGAGUAACACGUAUGCAACCUACCCUGUACAGGGGGAUAACCCGGAGAAAUUCGGACUAAUAUUCCAUAAUGAUAUUUUAGGGCAUCCUUUAAUAUUUAAAGCUUUGGCGGUACAGGAUGGGCAUGCGCAACAUUAGCUAGUUGGGAGGGUAACGGCCUACCAAGGCUAUGAUGUUUAGGGGACCUGAGAGGGUGAUCCCCCACACUGGUACUGAGACACGGACCAGACUCCUACGGGAGGCAGCAGUGAGGAAUAUUGGUCAAUGGGCGGAAGCCUGAACCAGCCAUCCCGCGUGCAGGAAGACAGCCCUAUGGGUUGUAAACUGCUUUUCCAGUGGGCGAACCCCUCGUACGUGUACGGGAUUGACGGUACACUGGGAAUAAGCAUCGGCUAACUCCGUG